CCCUUCCCUUAGUUAUACCUUUUGUUAUUUACAAAAGGUAUAGGGCAAUAAAUAAUCACAUGCUAUAGAGGAAUAAAUGGUAUUGAAGUAUCAGUUCAUCCCAGGUCCUCUGUGCUAUAGAGCAAUAAAUUAUCAGAUGCUGUGUAUCUUCAAUUAAUCCUGGGUAUAGAUCACAGUAACCAUUUUGAAUUGGCAUUAUUCCCUUACUCACCAAUAGACUUAAUCACUGGAGUCUAUACCAAAUCACUUUCCACCAAAACGUUAUUACCAUUGGAGCAGCCCCC
rnacentral:lncRNA from 1 species